rnacentral:rRNA from 1 species
UACGUAGGGUGCAAGCGUUGUCCGGAAUUAUUGGGCGUAAAGAGCUCGUAGGCGGUCUGUCGCGUCUGCUGUGAAAACUCAGGGCUUAACCCUGAGCUUGCAGUGGGUACGGGCAGACUAGAGUGCGGUAGGGGAGACUGGAAUUCCUGGUGUAGCGGUGAAAUGCGCAGAUAUCAGGAGGAACACCGAUGGCGAAGGCAGGUCUCUGGGCAUUAACUGACGCUGAGGAGCGAAAGCGUGGGGAGCGAACAGG